rnacentral:lncRNA from 1 species
UGAAAAGCAAUCAGGAAAGUAAAUUUUUAUCUGCAAUCGUUUUAAUUCUUCAACACGGAAGCCUGAACUCGAAGAUCAAGUCGGUCCGAGUUCUGGACUCACUAGCACUUGACUCGGAAUCCAAACGCAGGAUCUCCGACUCACAAGACCUUAUAUCCAUCCUUCUCCAGCUCCUGAAAACAAAUAACAACGGAUCCUUAAACGACGCCGUUACUUCCAUUUUAACCACCAUUUCAAUAACGCGCUCCAUCAGAUCCCGCCUCAUCGAAAACGGCAUCGUUGAAAUCCUAUCAAACUCGCUCACCGAAAAGUCGUUGAAGUUGUUAGCAACGCUUAGCACUUGCAGCGAAGGGAGGUCAGCAAUCAGUUCCGAGCCAAAAUGCGCGGCAGCGAUCGUAGAAAAGCUCUUGAAGGUGUCGAAAAGGGGGACGGAGGACGCCGUAACGGUGUUGUGGAGCACGUGUUGCUUGAGCAAAGAGGAGAAAGUGAAAGAAGCGGUAGUAAAAGGGAAUGGGGUGACGAAGAUAUUAGUAAUAAUGCAAAGAGAAGGGGAAGGGAAUGUGAAGAUGAUGUGCAGGGAUUUGGUUAAGGCUCUAAGAGCUGUAUGUAAAGAUUGGUGUUUAGGCAGUUAUGAAACCAAAACUACACAUAUUAGACCUUGUUGAGGAGCAUUCUUUAUUUUUGGACAUAAAUUUACACACAAGAUUCAUGUAGUUACCACUUAGUUCAAAGGAAACACGAUUCUAUGCUUUUUUUUUUUGUUAGAAACAUUAUUCCUGGAAUUCCCAUCUUCCCUUCCUAUGGGAGCUUUCAACAGGUAGGCGAACCUCACUUGAGUUCACAGGCUGUACCAUUCAACCAUCACAUUUGACCUGUCACUUGGUUUUGGACCGGCUUUUUUAAAUUUUAUUCCACUUAAUUUUUAAAUUUAAAAUAAAAUUUUAUUUAAUUGAUUUGAAUUUAUUAAAAAAUUAAUGGCUAUUGAACUAAAAUAUAAUAAAACUAAGAUUACAUUUUUACCACCCAAUUAUCAAAAAUUACAUUGUAAUUAUCCAUCUAUUAACCGGUUAAGUUGACCACCUAUUUGCCAUAUAUCUUAAAUAUAUUUAACGAAAACAAAACCCUAACUCCUUUAAUAUAAAGAAAAACCCUAAUAAACAUUUGUCUAUUUAGAUUGUGGUAUGUGAUGUGAUACAAGUUUUGAUAUAAGUAUUGGCACAACAACAUGAACAAAAUAGAAAACAUUAGAAUGAACACAAAUAAAUUGGUAAUGUAAUUCAGUGCACCAUCAACUUGUGCGAGACCUUGCCUAGAGAAAUCCAUUGCUAAACUCGUGACAAAAACAAUGAUUCAAGUCCAAUAUAUUUUAACCCUCGGAUAAUUACAGACUCACCCAAAUGCAUUUAGUACGAACUCUCUCUAAACAACCUCUCCUUGUAAAGGCUCUUAACUAUUCAUUCAAAGAUGAAUAAAAAAUAAAAUAUGCAUUCAAUAAAAGUUCUUUACCAUGAACAUAUAACCGCUCCCUAAAUUUUAUUAAAAAAAAUCUAAGUACAUCCAAUUUUAUCCCACGAAUCAUCCAUAUAUAUAUAUAAGCUUUAAAUAAUCUCAAAAUCAUCCCCAUGUAAGAUGAGAUAAAAUUAAUUUAAUUUGAAAAGAUUUAUCUUGGAAUUUCAUAUCCAAGCAUUUUUAAAUAAAUUAUUUUCAAGCCUUUAUAUUAUUUUCAAUUUUAAAUCUAUGUUUGGGCUAAAAUUCUUCAUAAGCUUGCUGAAAAGUUACAUUAUGAGAUAAGGAUAGAAGGUCUUUAAGGAUCAUAUUUGAAAUCGAACUCUUCUAUCUCGGAGCCAUGUGUUACAUCAAGUACAUAGAUAACCUAUGUAUAUUCCUCCGUUUUUGUUGCUUAUAAGAUAAAUAUAAAGAUAUAUACAAAGUUAAAAACUUUUAACAAUAAAACUGAUGCAUAGACAAGUUGUGGUUUGUCAUGGGGCACAACUUGUAGCACAAACAUUUUUGACAAAACCUCUCCAACAAAAACAAGAACAGUAGGAAACAAGAAUCACAUGUUAAAAGAAUUUCAAACUGAAUGAAAACCUGGAUAGCAACUUCGUCUAUGUCCUCCUCUUCGACUAAAAUCUAAAGCAGUUGUGGUAGUAGGUGUGCCAACAUUAAAUACCCCAUGGUUUUGGGUUACAAACACUACAACAAAACAGGCUAUUAGCGUCGCUUUUUCACAUAAACGUCGCUAAAGAUCAUGUUCUUUAGCGGCGCUAAUUUUUCAAACGCCGCUAAAGAACAUGACCUUUAGCGACGCUUUUUCAUACAUGCCGCUAAAGGUGAUGUUCUUUAGCGGCGCUAUUGUUACAAACGCCGCUAAAGACCAUGACAUUUAGCGGCGCUUUUUACCACAAUCACCGCUAAAGAACAUCACCUUUAGCGGCGCUUUUAUCACAAACGCCGCUAAAGGUCAUGUUCUUUAGCAGUGCUUUACGGUAAAUGCCACUAACUUUGGCAGAUUUCUAACAUUCAUUUUCAUCCAUAUGCGACCCUUCUUGUAACAUGAAAACCAACCAAAAGCAGUAAAUUCAAAUGAUACUUCAAAUUCAACAAAAGAUAUAUGAUAUAAAUUGAUAAAUGAAGUAUAAUUCAUAUUAUUCUUACAAUAAUGUUAAAAGUUAAAAUGCUAAAAAUAUUUAUACGGUAGUUUAAGAUGGCAAAUUUUGCUACUGCUAAAACAUCUUCAUCAUAUUCUGAAGUUAUUGUUGGAGUUCGUCGUACUUUCUGCUCUGCUCUGCUUCCCUCGCUGCUGCCUCUGCUUCCCUCGUUGCUGCCUCUGCUUUAAGUUGUAGCUGGAGUGCUUCAUAUUUUCUUUGAACCUCAGCUUCUCUCGAUGUUGCCUCUACUUUAAGUUGUAGCUGGAGUGCUUCAUAUUUUCUUUGAACCUCAGCUUCUCUUGAUGCUGCCUCCGUUUUUGAUUGAGUAAUUUGCUCAACUGUGCUUGCUUGCAUCUGAGCCAUCUGGUCUCUUAAUCUCUGAACUUCAGCUUGAGCCUAACUCCCCGAAUGCAUGUAUUGCUGCGAGCUGGAUCCAAAAUAUUGGGUUGGGUUAACAAAAGAUCCUUGAAAUCGAACUCGACCAUACCUUUCAGGUCCCAAAACUUCAGUAAUAAUUCCGUUAUCAAUGUCAUCAAGAUGAACAAAACUAUCACUUGAAGCAAUCGCUUCGUACUCUAACUUUUUAUCUUUUAGUUUCUCCUAAUAAAUAAAUCAAAUAGUUAGAAACGCAAUAUAUAUUAUAAAAACAAAUGCAUUAUAAAAUAAACACUAUAAAUAUUUAAAACAUAUCAAAUUUUAUUAAGUAAACAUACCAUAAUUUCUGCAGCUUCAGGAGUCAUAGGAGAUCCAUCUUUCUUCCUAUGUGUAAUGUCAAAAAGCUUAAGGCGUCCAACUUUUUGACCGGAUGACAGUUCCUACAAUAUAGUAGUAAAAGUAUUAUUUAAUGGAAAGUAAUAAAUAUUUGACACUAUUAAUAAAUUCAAAAUACCUCAGCCUCAGCUACACAAGCGAAACUUUUUGACCCAACUGUGUGAGUGGAUUUCUGUUUUUGCCUGCUGCUUUUUCCAACUCGUUUACGAUCCUACAUUAUGAAAUUAUUAUUACGUAUAUAGUAAAUACUAUAAACCGAAAUAAUUAUAAGAGUUUGGAAGUACGUAAUAUCUCUCCUUUCUUUGAAUUCCAAAAUCUAACCGCAUCUUCUCAUUGGUACCUCAGCAUUCCCGGCGGGACAUUUUUCAAUUUCUCUUCGAGGGUUAUUUUUGUCUUAAAAUAAUUUUUCUUUAAAGUACUUUUAUGGUCUCUCCAUGUUUUUCCCAAUGCCUUCUUGAUAUAAUUAUCCGAGACCUCUAAAGCAAACCUUGCCUACAAAAAAAAACAAGUUUAGAAAGUAAAUAUAAAUGAAACUUAAAGCCAAGUAUUAUAAAUUACAUUAACGUUUUAUUACCUUAAUAUUAUCGAGAGCUUGAUUUUUGUUACUAUUAGGCAUUUCUCGCCAUGACUCGUAGUUGAUAGGCAACAUAUUUGCAUUUCGUGCUAUUAUGCUCAAAUAUCCUGCUAAAAGUCGAGCUUCUGAUCCAACAGGCUGACCAAAACUGUUUCUACAUACUUUGACAUGCUCGACAGGAUCUAACUCGUAUAAAUAUUUAAGUAGCGUACAUCCUCGACCUCUGCGCGUCCCACCACUUUCAGCUGAAAAAUGGUAUAUUAUAAUAUAAGAAUUUGAAAAAGAAAUCAACAAUAAGUCAGCACGCAUGUAAAUUAAAUGUAAAAUUACUUUGAAUUUCUAUAGGUUCGUCAGGUGUAUUCGGAACAUUCGAAGAUCCAAUAGCAGUUUGUUGUUCACUAUUUGUUUCUUUCGAGUUUGGAGUAUUUUGAACAAUGCUUAGAUCUCGCAAUUUUCUUCUAGGCAUUUUAUCUGCAAUACACAUAAAAUAGUUGAAAACUUAGUAACUAAUUACAACAAUAGCAACACAUAUAAAAUAGUUGAAAUAUUUAAUAAGACCAAGAUUUAAAUUAUGAUAUUUUGUAUAAUUAAAAAACCGUAAAAUUUUACUACAUCAUAAUUCGUAAAUAUCUUCAUCCAUAUCCUGGCGAACCCAUUGAAAUUGUGUACUAGUACUAGAGAUAUUUUCGUUUAAGUUUUGUUCUGGAAAAGGAAAAGUUUUUGAUCUGUCGUCGAUGUCAUCUCUACUUCCAUUGCCCAUGUCAAACAAGUCUCUAGGGAUUUUACGGAGUACAACGUACCAACCCUUAUCAGUUGGAUCUUUUGAGUAAAAAAUAUGUUUCACUUGAGAAGAAAAUACAUACGACUCAUCUAUCAAUUGUUGUCCUGUGUGAAUCAAUCGAGAGAAGUUCACCAUUGUAAAACCAAAUUGAUCUUGCUUAAUUCCACGAUCAGUAUUAACAUCAGCCCAAUCACCUCGAAAUAAGACAACUUUUCAUUUGUCGUAGUAAUCCAACUCAAUUAUGUCAGUAAGAAGUCUGAAAUACUCCACAUUUCCCUCAACAGGAUUAUUGUCCCUAGCACUAGCAUAACUUGUACUUGAGGAAUUAACAACUAUUCCACAAUUUUGAGUUCUCCUCAAUCUCUCGCAAUAUUUUGUAUGAAAUCUGAAUCUGUUGAUGAGGAAGGCACUAUAUCUUUUAACCACUCUAUUCAGACCUUGAGAAAGCCAUUUAACUUCGUCAUUGACGUUCUUCCCACUCCAAACCUAUUGAAUCGAAAGUAAACUAAGUAAUUAUAAAUGUUAUGAUAAAACAUUAUUAUUUGUCAAUGAAAGCUUCAAUUGCAUACCGUUUGGCUUAACCAUUCAUGAAAAGAUUCUGUGAACAACUUAUUGAUCUCUCGAUGUUGUAAUCUUCGGGAGCGCGAACGAGAUCUCAAGAUUUGUUUGUACUUACUAUGUUAAAAAAAAGUUCACUUUGUUAGAAGAUAAACAAUUUAUAAUUGAUGAAUAUUUAUCAAAUUCUAGAACUUACUUCCGUAAUGGUUCUAUUCAAUCGUGGUGAAAUAGAACAUAUCGAUGUGCUUGUACCCACGAUCUAUCAUCUAAUUCUACAAUUUCAGCUUUGCCGAUUGGUUCUCCAAAACUUUGAAACAAAUAAGUUUCGGCGAAGUUAUGAUCAGUGAGCCCAGCAUUUCUACUUGGUCUGUUCAACCUUGUUUCAACAUCUUCCAAAUAUCUUGAACAGAAAGUCAUACAUUCCUCUGCCAAGUAGCCUUCCAUAAUCGAUCCUUCUGGAUAACGCUUGUUGCGGCAGUAAGACUUCAAUUUGGAUAGGAACCUAAACACAAUAUACAACAUUAUCAAAACUUGUAACUUAAAGCAUAUUGGCGAAUGAAGGAAAAUUUUACAAAUAAAUUAACACCUUUCUAUGAGAUACCACUACACCAAAACAGGCUUUUAGCGGCGUUUUUUUAGGCCUUUAGCGGCGCUUUUUAGCGCCGCAGAAACUUUUAGCGGCGCUUUAAUAAGCGCCGCAAUAGAAGCCGCUAAAGAUUGCGCCGCUAAAGACCCUAGUCUAUAGCGGCGCUUAUCUCACAAACGCCGCUGAAGAGUAAGAGCUUUACCGGCGCUUUAGUAGAAGCGCCGCUGAAGAGUAAUACCUUUAGCGGCGUUUUUGGUAUAAGCGCCGUUAUAGACUAGGGUCUUUUAGCGGCGCUUUAAUAAGCGCCGCAACAGAAGCCGCUAAAGAUUGCUCCGCUAAAGACUCUAGUCUAUAGCGGCGCUUAUAUCACAAACGCCGCUGAAGAGUAAGAGCUUUAAAGACCCUGAUCUAUAGCGGCGUUUUGGUCACAAACGCCACUAAAGACCCUGAUCUAUAGCGGCGCUUUUACCAAAAACGCCGCUAAAGACCCUAUUCUAUAGCGGCGCUUAUACCAAAAAACGCCGCUAAAGACUAACACCUUUAGUGGCGUUUUUUUAAAAACGCCACUAAAUUUGGCAGAUUUGUAAAAUAAAUUUUUAUAUAUUUUCAGCCCUCCUGUAAAAAAACAAAUCAGAAGAAAUCAUAUCUAAACCAGCCAAAAGUAAUAAAUCUAUAUAUUAAACAAAUAAUAUAAUAAAUAUCAAUAAAUAUUAUAAAAUUCGUAUUAUUCGUACAAAAAUGUUAAAAGUUAAAAUGAUAAUUCAAAGUAAAAAUUGAAGUAUAUUUACACGAUAGUCUAAGACGGCGGCGGUUGCGACUGCUGAAACAUCUUCAUCAUACUCUGGAGCUGCUGCUGGAGUUCAUCGAACUUUUGACGCUGCUCUGCUUCCCUCGCUGCAGCCUCUACUUCCCUCGCUUUAGCCUCUGCUUCCCUCUUAGCAGCCUGUACUUCUCUCGCUGCCGCCUCUGCUUCUCUUGCUGCCGCAUCUGCUCUAAGCUGCUGCUGGAGUUCUUCAUACUUUUGUUGAACCUCAGCUUCUCUCGCUGCUGCAUCUGCUUUAAGUUGUAGCUGGAGUUCUUCAUAUCUUCUUUGAACAUCAGCUUCUCUCGAUGUUGCCUCCGCUUUCAGUUGUGUAAUUUGCUCAGCUCUUGUCGCUUACAUCUGAGCCAUCUGGUCUCUUAACCUUUGAACUUCAGCUUCAGCUCGACUCCCCGAAGGCAUAUAUUGUUGCGAGCUAGAUCCAAAAUAUUGGGAUGGGUUAACAAAAGAUCCUUGAAAUCGAACCCGACCAUACCUUUCAGGACCCAAAACUUCAGUGAUAAUCCGGUUAUCAAUGUCGUCAAUAUGAACAGAACUAUCACUGGAAGCAAUCGCUUCGUACUCUGCCUUUUUAUCCUUCAAUUUUUCCUAAAAAAUAAAUCACAUAGUUAGGAACGCAAUAUAUAUUAAAAAACCGAAUGCAACAUAACUUAACAAUAUUUGCAUUACAAUAAAUGAAAUAAAUAAUUAGAAAGUAAACACUAUAAAUAAUUAAAACAAGUGAAAUUGUAUUAAGCAAACGUACCAUAAUUUCUGCAGCUUCAGGAGUCAUAGGGUUACCAUCUUUCUUCCUAUGUGUAAUGUCAAAAAGUUGAAGUCGUCCAACUUUUUGACCGGACGACAGUUCCUACAAUACAAUAGUAAAAAUAUUAAUUGAUAGAAAGUAUUAAAUAUCUGCCAAUAUUAAAAAAUUCAAAAUACCUCUGCAUGAGCUACACACGCAAAACUUUUCGACCCAGCUGUGUGAGUGAAUUUUUGUUGCUGCCUACUUUGUUUUCCAACUUUUUCACGAUCCUACAUUAUGAAAUUAUUAGUACGUUAAUUAGGAAAUACUAUACACCAAAAUAAUUACAAAAUUUUAUAAGUUACACAUACCUCUCCUUUCUUCGAAGUCCAAAAUCUAACGACCUCUUCCCACUGGUACCUCAGCAUUCCCGGCGGGACAUUUUGUAAUCUCUCGUCGAGUGUUGUUUUUGUCUUAAAAUAUUCUUUCUUUAAAGUACUCUUAUGGUCUCUCCAUCUUUUUCCCAAUGCCUUCUUUACAUAAGCAUCGGAGNNNNNNNNNNNNNNNNNNNNNNNNNNNNNNNNNNNNNNNNNNNNNNNNNNNNNNNNNNNNNNNNNNNNNNNNNNNNNNNNNNNNNNNNNNNNNNNNNNNNNNNNNNNNNNNNNNNNNNNNNNNNNNNNNNNNNNNNNNNNNNNNNNNNNNNNNNNNNNNNNNNNNNNNNNNNNNNNNNNNNNNNNNNNNNNNNNNNNNNNNNNNNNNNNNNNNNNNNNNNNNNNNNNNNNNNNNNNNNNNNNNNNNNNNNNNNNNNNNNNNNNNNNNNNNNNNNNNNNNNNNNNNNNNNNNNNNNNNNNNNNNNNNNNNNNNNNNNNNNNNNNNNNNNNNNNNNNNNNNNNNNNNNNNNNNNNNNNNNNNNNNNNNNNNNNNNNNNNNNNNNNNNNNNNNNNNNNNNNNNNNNNNNNNNNNNNNNNNNNNNNNNNNNNNNNNNNNNNNNNNNNNNNNNNNNNNNNNNNNNNNNNNNNNNNNNNNNNNNNNNNNNNNNNNNNNNNNNNNNNNNNNNNNNNNNNNNNNNNNNNNNNNNNNNNNNNNNNNNNNUGCGGUGCGAUCGCACUUUUCUUCUAGGCAUUUUAUCUGCAAUACAAAUAAAUUAGUUGAAAACAUAGUAUACAAUUACAACAAUAAUAUCACAUAUAAAAUAGUUGAAAUAUCAUCAUUCGUAAAUAUAUACAUACAUAAUCGUAAAAGCUUACUACAUUAUAAUUCGUAAAUAUCUUCAUCCGUAUCCUGGCGGACCCAUCCAAAUUGUGUACUAGUACUACGGAUGUUUUCAUUUAAGUUCUGUUCUGGAAAUGGUAAAGUUUGUGUUCUGUCGUCAAUGUCAUCUCUACUUCCACUGCCCAUGUCAAACAAGUCUCUAGGGAUGUUACGGAGUACAACGUACCAACCCUCAUCAGUUGGAUCUUUUGAGUAAAAAACUUGUUUGACUUGAGAAGGAAAUACAUACGGCUCAUCAAUCAAUUGUUGUCCUGUGUGAAUCAAUCGAGCGAAGUUUACCAUUGUGAAACCAAACUGAUCUUGCUUGAUUCCACGUGCAGUAUUAACAUCUGCCCAAUCACCUCGAAAUAAGACAACUUUCCAUUUGCCGUAGUAAUCCAACUCAGUUAUGUCAGUAAGAAGUCCAAAAUAUUCCACAUUUCCCUCCACAGGAUUAUUGUCCCUAGCACUAGCAUAACUUGUAAUUGAGGAAUUAACAACUAUUCCACAAUUUUGCGUUCUCCUCAAUCUCUCGCGAUAUUUUGUAUGAAAUCUGAAUCCGUUUAUGAGACGCACUAUAUCUUUUACCACCCGAUUUGGACCUUAGAAAGCAUUUAACUCGUCGUGACGUUCUUCCCNNNNNNNNNNNNNNNNNNNNNNNNNNNNNNNNNNNNNNNNNNNNNNNNNNNNNNNNNNNNNNNNNNNNNNNNNNNNNNNNNNNNNNNNNNNNNNNNNNNNNNAACCAUUCAUUCACGACAUAAAUACUACACUUAUUGAUAUCUCGAUGUUGUGUUCUUCGGGAGCGCGAACGAGAUCUCAAUAUUUGUUUGUACUCACUAUGUUAAAAAAAUGUUCAGUUUGUUAGGCUAUAAACAAUUUUUAAAUGAUGAAUAUUUAUCAAAUUUCUAGAACUUACUUGCGUAAAGGUUCCAUUGAUUCGUGGUGAAACAGAACAUAUCGAUGUGCUUGUACCCACUAUAAAUCAUCUAAUUCUGUAAUUUCAACUUUACCGAUUGGUUCUCCAAAACUUUGGAACAAAUAAUUAUCGGCAAAGUUAUGAUCCGUGAGUCUAGCAUUUCUAUUAGGUCUGUUCAACCGUGUUUCAACAUCUUCCAAAUAUCUUGAACAGAAGGUCAUACAUUCCUCUGCUAAGUAGCCUUCAGCAAUCGAUCCUUCUGGAUAACGCUUGUUGCGGCAAUAAGACUUUAAUUUGGACAGGAACCUAAACACGAUAUACAACAUUAUCAAAAGUUGUAACUAAAGUCAUAGGUGAACAAAGGAAAAUUUUAAAAAUUGUAAUUAACACCUUUCUAUGGGAUACAUCCAUCGAUAGAAAACGGGUCCGCCAAGAAUUGCUUCACGUAGGAGAUGGAUUAUCAAGUGAACCAUAAUAGUGAAGAAGGAAGGUGGGAAAAUUUUCUCCAUGUUGCAUAAAGUUAAAGUGGCUCGAUCCUGUACCUUCUGAAGUUCUUGAACAUCCAAAACUUUGCCACAAAUGGCUUUCAUUAUAUUGGAUAGUUCAAUUAUACAAGAUGUCACCUUCUUGGAAAUACAACAUCGUAGAGCAACUGGCAGUAAAUCUUGCAUCAAGAUGUGAUAGUCAAGUGAUUUUAGCGAAUAUAGUCUUCGAUCUUUAACACUAACACAUUGAGAUAUAUUUGAUGCAUACGCAUCUGGAACCUUUAUAUCCUUCAACACCAUGCAGAACACUUCUUUCUCUGUCUUCGACAUUGAGAAAAUAGAAGGUGGCAACCGAUAUUUACCAUUCGGAAGUGGAUUCGGAUAAAGAUCAGGUCGAAUUCCCAUCUGAACUAAAUCAAGUCGACUCUGAAGAUUGUCUUUUGAUUUUCCGUCUACAUUCAAAAUUGUACAGACAAUGUUCUCGCAGACAUUUUUCUCAAUAUGCAUAACAUCAAGAUUGUGUCGUAAAAGGUGGUGCUCCCAAUAAGGCAACUCAAAAAAAAUACUUCUUUUCUUCCACAAGUCCGCCUCAUUAGGAUCAUCCUCUUCAUCAGAGUUAUCAUCAGCUUCAUCAUUUGAUCUUCUAUUUCUUUGCGUGUUUGCCGGUUGAUUCAUCUUCCCAUAACUGAAAUUCAUAUCUUCCAACAUUAACAAGAUUUCAGAUCCACUUGUCUGCGAAGGAGCUUCUCUGAACUCUUCAGUACCGUCAAAUGCCGAACUUUGAAAUCUAAAUCUAUGAUUUUCUGGUAACCACCGACGAUGCCCCAUGUAAGAGAACUUCUUCCCAUUGUAUAACCAUUGCGAACAUGUUUGUGCAGCACAACAAGGGCACGCAUAACGACCAUUGGUACUCCAACCGGAUAAAUUGGCAUAAGCGGGGAAGUCAUUAAUGGUCUACAUCAAAGCUGCACGUAAAUUAAAGUUCUCCUUUCUCAGCACAUCGUAUGUCUCGACACCAGCUCAUAAUUGUUUUAACUCUUCAAUAAGUGGCUGUAAAUAAAUGUCGAUAUCAUUCCCGGGCCCUUUCUCUCCAGGGAUAAUCAUAGAUAAGAUAAGGGAAUAUUGCUUCAUGCAAAUCCACGGAGGCAGAUUGUAAGGAACAAGCACUACUGGCCAAGUACUGUAUGCAGUACUCAUGAUCUUGUAAGGAUUAAAUCUAUCAGAUGCUAGGCCAAGCCUCACACUCCUGGGAUUGCUUGCAAAGCUUGGAAAUUUAUUGUCAAAUGAUUUCCAAGCUAAAGAAUCUACCGGAUGCCUUAAUAGUCCAUCAUCUGUUCGUCCUUCAUGGUGCCACGUCAUUGACUCCGCUGUCUUCGACGACAUGAAUAGCCUUUGAAGCCUUGGUAUCAGCGGAAAAUACCGCAAAAUCUUGACCGGCUUCUUUCUUGACUGUGCAUCAUUUUCAUCGCUAUUCCCGUCUUCUGUGUUUCUAUUCAUCCAACGGGAUUCGCCGCAUACAUGACAGCACUGUUGGUUUAUCCGAUCGCCCCAGUACAACAUGCAAUCAUUCGGGCAACUAUGGAUUUUGUUGUACCCAAGACCUAAGUCUUUUAUCAUUUUCUUCAUAUCUUUGCAUGACUGAGGGAUUUUUGCAAACGGAAACAUUUCUCUCAAAAACUCUAACAGCAUUGUCAAUGAGUUCUCGGUCCACCCUCCCAAACAUUUUAACUGGAAAAGACGAAUGCAGAAAGACAUUUUUGAAAAUUUCGAUCCCUCAUAUAGUUCUUCGUUCAUCUCAUUAAGUAGGGCGUAGAACUUUGCCGCUUCUCCAUUCGGCUCUUCAUGAUGUACACUUCUUCCGGGUUCGGUAAAAGCAUUUCCACCGAGAUUACAGUCAUCAGAUGGUACAAAGUCGGGUGGGAACGACUGUAAACCAUGACUGUGAAUAUUAAAUGCUUCCCGCAACAUCCCUUCAAUGUUAUCCCCUCUAACAGACUGAUGGUAAGUAGUACUAUCAUAAGAUACAUCCAUCCUUGAAGAGGAAGUACUAGGCGGGCAUUCUCCAUGAAAAAACCAUUGUUUAUAACCACGAACAAACCCAUCAACAAUUAGAUGCUCAUAUACAACUUCACGAUAAUGCCAGUUUAUGUUGACACACUUCUUACACGGGCAAAGAAUCAUGUUCUCUUGGCUUGCAUAUUGAAAUGCAAAAUUUAGAAAUGUUUGUACUCCAUUUCGAUAACCGUCGCUUACCCUUGACAAAUUCAUCCAAGACCGGUCCAUUUCUUAUUUCUUGAAGCCUAAUCUUGACAAUAAAUUGCAUGGUAAGUUAUGUAUUGUGUAAGCUAUGUAAGUUGUGUAUUAUGUAAGUUAUUAUUAUACUUUAAGUUAUGUAAGUAAUGUAUUAUGUAAGUUGUGUAUAAUGUUAGUUAUGUAAGUUAUGUAAGUUAUGUAAGUAAGUUAUGUAAGUUAUCAAAGUAAUGUAUGUUAUGUAAGUUGUAAGUUAUUAUGUAUUAUGUAAGUUAAGAUGGAUUACGUAAGUUAUCAAAGUAAUGUAUGUUAUGUAAGUUGUAAGUUAUUAUGUAUUAUGUAAGUUAAGAUGGAUUACGUAAGUUAUGUAAGUUAAAUGUAUUAUGUAAGUUGUAAGUUAGAUGUAUUAUGUAAGUUGUAAGUUAUAAUGUAUUAUGUAAGUUAUGUAAGUUAAAUGUAUUAUGAAGGUUAUGUAAGUUGUGUAAGAGAUUUAAGUUAUGUGAGUUUUGUAUUAUGUAAGUUAUGUAGGUUAUUUAGGUUAUGUAAGUUUUGAGUUGUUCAGUGGUAGGUUAUUGUUAUUAAAUAUUAAUAUCUAUUAUUAUUAAAUAUUUUUUAAUAAAAAAUAAAAAUAAAUAAUUUAAUUAUAUUUUAACAUAAUUAUUGUUAAGUACAAUUUAAUAAAAUAAUAUAUAAUUUAAUAACAUUACUAAUAUAAUUAUUAAUAAUAUUUAAUAAUAAUUUUAAUAUAAUUUUAUUAUUAAGAAUAUUUCAUUGCUUAAUAUCAUUUGCUUCAAUCUAGCAUCUCACUUGUUCUCUUAAGUCAAAAUAGCCAAUAUUAAAAUGAGUUUAACAUACUGUAUGAUAAUCCAAUAAUAACAUUUUAUUUUAAUAGUCAAUUUUAAUAGAAAACAUAUAUUUUUAUAUUUUAUAUUUUAUUUUAUCUUUUAUGAUAACAUGAUAACAAAAAUUAAUUAUAAGGUAUACUCUUUAUUAAAUUAAUUAUUUAUAACCCCGAAUUGGUGAAAUAAAAACCUUCAAAAAUGUCAAAAAAAUUACCCCAUUGUUUAUAACAUUAGUUCUUUUCAUAUGUGAAAUAAAAAAUCAAAAGUCAUAGUCCUAUGUUUUUAAAAAACUCAUAGUUCUUUUCAAUUAAUUAUAUGAUUGCAUUUUUUGCACGAAGCUGCUGCAGAAAAAAAACAUGAUAAAUGGAAAAUUACUUAUGUUCAUAAUCCUUUCUAAGCUAAAAGAACUGUUACCAAUCGAAGUUAAUUGAUUUUCAACAAAGAAAACCGAACACAUGAGAAUUCAAAUGGAGAUCAAAUAUAGUAAGAUCACAUUAUACUUAUUCUUCUAUCAUAUUAAAUAUUCAUGACAACUUCAAACAAACAAAAAAGAGGUCUCCUCAAGAUUCUUUUGCCUAUUACAUUGAUAUGGCCAUCAAUCCCUGUAGUUUAACAAUAUUCAAGAUUUAGUCCCUACAUUUAAAUUUUAAAUAAAGGCUUCUAGCAAAAGUGGAAUUACAUUGCUUAAUGAAAUCACAAUGUUUGACCAUUCCAAUUACAUUGCUUAAUGAAAUCACAAUAUUUUAUCUUCUUGUAAUUUAAUUCUAGAAUAAUAUUUUUUAUUAUAAUGUAAGCGUUAGAAAAUAUGUUAAUUAUCUAUGUUUAAAACUUUAAUGAAAUAAAAAUAUAAACAAUUAUUAAAUAUCAAACUAAAAAUACCAUAAAAUAUUUUUAAAAUAUGGAUAAAUCUAAAACGAGCUUAAAUUAACCAUUUACAGAUAUAAGUAUACUUAAACAAACAUAAAAAUUAUUAAACCAUACAGUAGCUUAUUGUACCUUUUAAAGCAUGACAAGUAUUUUAUGGUUUUCUAGCUUAUUGUACCUUAAAGCUUGGAGUUAGCCUUCUUACUGCUCAACGCAACUGCUGUCUUCGAACUAUUGUUUUCGUUUUAUUUUGAUUACUAAAUUUUCUUCUCUUCUUUCUUUUAAAUUUAUUCAUUAAUCUCUUCAAAAUUAAAUAUUUCGAUCAUUCUCUCAUUAGUUGCAGUUAGAUAAGUGACAAUAAGUUGAUGUCAACUUUUUUAUUAGUCUAAUAAUAAAUUUAACCCUCAAAUAUUUAUACAUUCUAUCAAUUUAAUCCUAAAUAGAAAAUAUUUAACAAAUUCAGUUAUUACUAUUUACAUAAUUUUGAUGAAAGUUCAAACCGUAUUACUUUUUCACUAUGAAAGGAAUGGUGAUAUUUCCAUAAAUAAAGUAGUAAAGACAUGAGGCGACAUCAAUUUUUCCUAAAAAAAAUUCCCAGCCCAGGUGAUAACAUGAGAAGUGCUACAAUUUUGUUUCUAUUUAUUUUGUUUCUAUAAUUAGUCUGAACGAGGAACUCAAUAAUAGGAUAAUUCGAAUGGAGAAAGAAUUAGAUGGAAAACGGGCAUUAGAAAUGGAACUUCAGCAACUAAGAAAGAGAUUGACAGUUUUGAAGCAGGUUGAGGCAAGUAUUAAGAAGUUCAGAGAAAUGGAUAUUAAACUUGCAUUUUCAUCAGCUUUUACUCCAAACCAAUGAAAGCAUUCCCAGUAUAAAAGAAGUGAAAGCUAUAGUGUACCUUCGCAACGAUGAAGAAAAAUGAAACAAUUGGAAACCCUAUACACAGAGAAGACGAUUUCAAGACAUUUCAGGGUCAUCAACAAAUAACAAACAAAAAAAUUAAGCUAGACAAGAAAACCCAAUGUUUAAAUGCGCAGAAUCGGGAAAUCUUACCUUAAAUACUGUUUCCCCCGACGACAUAAUCCGAAUGUUUGCCCACCUUCUCCGUCUUCUUUGACUGGGUUAUNNNNNNNNNNNNNNNNNNNNNNNNNNNNNNNNNNNNNNNNNNNNNNNNNNNNNNNNNNNNNNNNNNNNNNNNNNNNNNNNNNNNNNNNNNNNNNNNNNNNNNNNNNNNNNNNNNNNNNNNNNNNNNNNNNNNNNNNNNNNNNNNNNNNNNNNNNNNNNNNNNNNNNNNNNNNNNNNNNNNNNNNNNNNNNNNNNNNNNNNNNNNNNNNNNNNNNNNNNNNNNNNNNNNNNNNNNNNNNNNNNNNNNNNNNNNNNNNNNNNNNNNNNNNNNNNNNNNNNNNNNNNNNNNNNNNNNNNNNNNNNNNNNNNNNNNNNNNNNNNNNNNNNNNNNNNNNNNNNNNNNNNNNNNNNNNNNNNNNNNNNNNNNNNNNNNNNNNNNNNNNNNNNNNNNNNNNNNNNNNNNNNNNNNNNNNNNNNNNNNNNNNUCACUUUAAAAAUAUAAUAAUAAGUUUAUAAGUUUCAAAUAUUUUUCAGCAGGUACAUUGUUAUGACUUGUUAAUAUUAUUCAAUAACAUUAUAUAAAAAUAUGUUACAUAUUUAAUACAUUAAUUUUAAAUGUUAAAAUUUAAUAAAUUUUAUAAAUCAUAGAAAUUUCAUUUCAUGAAACGGCUCCGUUUUAUUCAAUUUGCGGAUAUUAUUCAUAUUUGCAGCGUUUUAGUAGAAAACGCCACUAAAAUUUCAUGUACAGAAUCAGACGGUGCCGUUUUAUUAAAACAUAAGUAAACUUUCUGGCGUUUUCAUAAAAAACGCCACAAAUGAUUAACUGAAGUUUAAAGAUAAUUUACGGCGUUUUUCGAAAAACGCCACAAAUAAAAAUGCAAUAAAUAUUUGCUAAAAUUUGAAUAAAUUUUAUUAUUUAUUUAUUUAUCUCUUGUAUAUUUAAUUUAAAUUUUACAUAAAUAAUUGUUAAAAUUUUAAGUAAUAUUUAAAAGUAUUUAAUAUAAAAAUUAAUAACCCCUAAUUCCCAAAUUCCUAACCCAUAACCCCUAAAUCCCCUAAACCCUUAAAGCAUAAACCAUAAACCCCUAAAUCUCCCUAACCCCUAAAGCAUAACCCCUAAACCAUUCCAAUUAUAUAAUUUUACUAUUUAAAUUUUACGUGAAUAAAUAUUAAAAUUUUAUCAACAUUCGAAUUUAUAAAUUAUUGAUAUUAUUCAAAUAAUGUAUUACAAUUUAAAAUUUAUGCUCUAUUUUUAAGUUAAAUUGGGUUGAUGGAGAUAUGCCAGUAUUCAUUUCAUGAAGCGGCGCUUAAAGAAAACGCCACAAAUCUUACAAAUUUUGAGGGUCAACUGAACUUGUCAAUGAAACGGCUCCGUUUUGUUCAAAUUUUCAAAUAUUAUUUGCGACGUUUUUCACAAAAACGCCACUAAAUUAUUUAUAUUUAUUUAUAAGUAUUUGCGGAUAUUUUUCAUAUUUGCGGCGUUUUAGUAGAAAACGCGACUAAAAUUUCAUGUACAGAAUCAGACGGUGCCGUUUUAUUAAAACAUAAGUAAACUUUCUGGCGUUUUCAUAAAAAACGCCACAAAUGAUUAACUGAAACAACGCCGUUUUGAGUUUAAAGAUAAUUUACGGCGUUUUUCUAAAAACGCCACAAAUAAAAAUGCAAUCGAGAUAUAUUUGCUAAAAUUUGAAUAAAUUUUGUUAUUUAUUUAUUUAUCUCUUGUACAUUUAAUUUAAAUUUUACAUAAAUACUUGUUAAAAUUUUAAGUAAUAUUUAAAAGUAUUUAAUAUAAAAAUUAAUUAAUAACCCCUAAUUCCCNNNNNNNNNNNNNNNNNNNNNNNNNNNNNNNNNNNNNNNNNNNNNNNNNNNNNNNNNNNNNNNNNNNNNNNNNNNNNNNNNNNNNNNNNNNNNNNNNNNNNNNNNNNNNNNNNNNNNNNNNNNNNNNNNNNNNNNNNNNNNNNNNNNNNNNNNNNNNNNNNNNNNNNNNNNNNNNAUACAUGUAUCAAUAUCUACAUGCAUAAAGUGAUCGAUCAUCUAUCUAUUAUAUAUCUCUUAAAUAAUAUAAACUAUAUACUCAUAAUUUAAAUUCAUCCAAAUUUCUUAUUAACUUAAAUAACAUAUUUGAUAUAAAAAUUAAUAAAAACUAUUUAACCUAAACUUAAACUAUAACCUUACCGUUCAAACCCUAAACCAGAAAUUCCUAAACCCUAAACCCUAAACCCCUAAACCCUAAAUCUUAACUCUUAACUCCCCCUAACCCCAAAAGCAUAACACCUAAUCUUUAAACCCUAAAUCCAUACCCUAACCUACUCCUUAAACUCUAAACCAUAUACUAUAAUGAUAAUUAAUUCAAUAUUUUAAAUUUAAUACUACCUCUUUUACGAUUAUAUAAGAAAUUAUUUAAUAUAUAAACUAAAACAAUCAGUAAUGUAUCCAAAAAACUUUAAAAAUAUUUUAAAUAAUAGUUUUUUAAUUUUUCAAUUUUUAAGAAAUACUUUAAAUUAUUUUAAAUCCCUGAUCAUUAGCGGCGCUUUUCUAGAAACGCCGCUAAAUCCCUCAAAAGCACAGAAAACGACGAUGUUGCGCGUAGUUUUUUUUGCGGCGCUUUUCGAAAAAUGCCGCUAAAGACUGAACAUUAGCGGCGCUUUAACAAAAACACCACUAAAAUCCCCGAAAGCCAGAAAACGGCGUCGUUGGGCUUAGGUUUUUUGCGGCGCUUUAACAAAAACGCCGCUAAAGACUUCAGCAUUAGUGGCGCUUUCUGUAAAAGCGCCGCUAAAUCCCUGAAAGCUCGGGAGACGACGUCGUUGCGCUAGUUUUAAGUAGCGGCGCUUUUCCAGAAACGUUGCUAAAGACCUAACCAUUAGCGGCGCUUUAUAGAAAGCGCCGCUAAAUCCCUGAAAGCUCGGGAAACGACAUCGUUGGGCUUAGUUAUUUUUGCGGCGCUUUCCUAGAAACGCCGCUAAAGCCUUGAGCAUUAGCGGCGCUUACUGAAAAACGCCGCUAAAUCACCGAAUGCUGGGGAAACGGCGUCGUUGCGCUAGGUUUUUUGCGGCGCUUUCUCAAAAACGCCGGGAAUGAUUAUUUUCAGUGGCGUUUUUUAUAAUGCGCCGCUAAUGAUUGAUCUUUAGCGGCGUUUGUUAUCCAAACGCCGCGAAAAACGACGCUAAAAGCCUGUUUUGGUGUAGUGUACAUCCAUCGAUAGAAAACGGGUCCACCGAGUAUUGUUGAAAACCAUAAACCAUAACCCUUAUCCUGAAAACCAUAAACCCUAGACCUUAGACACUAGAUCAUAGACUUUAAACCCUUAAACUUUAAACCCACAAACCCUAAACAAUAACCCAUAAACCCUAAACCCUAAACUUUAAGCCUUCUUAUCCCUUGAACCCUAAAUCCUAAACUUAUAAAUUAUAAACCCCUAACCUUUAACCCCUAACUCUUAACCCCUAACACCUAAACCCUAAGCACUAACCCUUAAACCCUAAACCUUAAACUAUAUUUCCUAAAACUUUAACCCAAAUCCCUUAAACCUUGAAUCAUAAAACAUUAACUAUAAACCCUAAACCCCUAACCCUUAACCCCCAGCACCUAAAACUUAAACCUUAACCCUUAAACCAUAAUCCCUAAACCCCUAACCUAUAUCAUUUAAACCAUGAAUCAUAGAACAUAUAUAAACUAUAAACCUGAAACCCUGAAUCACAAAACAUAUAUAAACUAUAAACCUUAAACCUUAACCCUUAAAAUAAUAAAUAGUAAACUAUAAACCCUAAAUCCAUAAUCCCUAAAACACUAAUGCCUCUAAAGCUUAACAAAAAAAGAGCUUGUUUUGCUAAACUAUUUGCGGCGUUUUCAAAAAAGUGCCGCUAAUGCUUGACUUCUACGGCAUUUUUCUAAAAGCGCCACUAAUGUGUCUAAAGUUAAAAAAAAAUGUCGUCGUUCGCUUAAAAACUUCUGCGGCGCUACCCAAAAAGCACAGCUAGUGCUUGACUUUUGCGGCGUUUUCUAGAAAGCGCCACUAAUGUCUCUAAAGCUAAAAAAUAAAACGAUGUCGUUUGCUUAACACUUUUGCGGCGCGUUAGGGAAAGCGUCGCUACUGCUUGACUUUUGCGGCGUUUUUUGAAAAGGGCCACUAAUGUCUCUAAAGCUUAACAAAAAAAUGACAUCGCUUGCUUAAAACUUUUGCGGCUCUUUUCGCUAAUACUUGACUUUUUAGGACGUUUUCUAAAAAGCGCCACUAAUGUCUCUAAAGCUAAAAAAAAUGACGUCGUUUGCUUAGAACUUUUGCGGCGCUUUUGAGAAAGUGUCGCUAAUACUUGACUUUUGCGGCGUUUCUUGAAACUGCCACUAACAUCUUUGAAGCUCAACAAGUAAAAAACAUCGUUUGGCUUAACUCUUUUGCGACGCUUUUGAGAAAGCGCCGCUAGUGCUUGACUUUUGUGGCAUUUUUUAAAGGCGCCACUAAUGUCUUUGAAGUGCAACACGAAAACGCCACUAAAAGCCUGUUUUGCUGUAGUGAAAGAUAAAGAAGAAAGUUUUAGAUUACUGGAGGAGAGAUAAAUAUGAUUCAAGGUCAAAUUUUCUUAUCUCAAAAAACUUUUAAUUUUAUAGAAUGAAUAUAUUUAAUUAUUUUAAGUUUAUUCCUUGUAUUUAAUUACUUUUGCAAUGCUAUUGUGUAUUUUACUUGCGAAUAAACAGAUAAUAUAUAUUUUCUCAUUAUUUGUUUAUUGUAUUUGCAAUUCGGUAAACCUAUAAUUUAGUCUUAAAGUUGUACCCAAUCAUUAUUUUGGUACUUAAAAUUUCAUUUUAUCAAUUUGGUAUCUAAAGUUUCAAAACAUUAUUUCCGUUGCUCCAAGACUCAAUUACAUUUAAAAAAACUGAUGUGGAACGCUCUCAACAAGUUACUUCAAUUAAAAAAUAAAAAAAUUUAGAAAAAUCUUAAGUUUUUUAAGAAAAUCAGAAAAAAGUAUGAAAAUUUCCAAAACAUUUUAGAGCGACAUGGCUGGUUGGGAGAAUGUCAUAUUAGUAAUUCUUUAAAUAUCAAAGUGAUAAAUUAUUUGUGACGAUUAGCAAAGUAAUAAUUAGACAUAAGUUUGAAAACUAAAAUAUGGUUGAACCCUUUGCAAUUUGCUAAUAUCAUAUGAUGUUGAAUUUUCUUAUUUUAUAACAAAAUGUGAUAAUUACAUUUUACAAAUUACGGUUAUAAGUAUACAUUAUUAAAUUAAUUUUAAAAAUAUAUUUAUUUUAAAUUUAGAUUACAUUUCAAGAUUUUGAGUUCGGGUUAGAUGAAUUUAAGUUAUUGCAUUUUUUAUAGUUAAAUUCAAGUUAAUGCCAUCAGAAUUUUUUAGGUGUUCACUUGAACCCAAAUCUCUCAUGUCGAACUGGUCUUAUUUACUCGACCUUUAUAAUUUGUGAUUCUGUUUUCCUUAAAAGCCUUCUUUACUAUGGUUUGCCAUUGACAUUUUGGUGAUUGAGAUCAUGCUCCAAAGCCUCAUAAUAUAUGCAUAUUUGAAGGAUAAAUCUCCUUUGAAGGAGUAAUUCCAACCCCACCUAUCAAUUUAUGUUAGAAUAUUUUACUUAAUUUUAUAAUACAAAAUUAAAUAAUAUUAUAUAUUUAAGGUAAUUAUUUGGUUAUUAUAUUUAGUAAAAAAAUAAAUAUAAAAAAAUUUCUCAAAGGUCCUUAGUAAACACUAAUUUCGUCUCUACAAUGGUUGUGAUUUAUUGGAAGUUCUUUAAGCAUAUAGUGUUAGCAUAAAUAAUGGCUUCUAAUAGAAAGCAACGGAAAAGAUCGAAUAUAAAUAGCUCCAGCCAUUACUGGAGCCAAAUGCCAAAAUCCAAAUGUUGUUACACCACUGUCAAGCACGUCGAAUUUAGCUGUACGAAAAACUGAAAAUCGAUUAAGUCUUCUAAGCACUCGAAAACCUCACUAGAUGAACGUCGAAUUUUUUUUUGUGCUUAACGACCUUAUGCUAGUUGGUAUUUAUAGUGGUGGUUCCUUAUAAAAAACACCAACUACACAUCCCACUAUCUCACAUACAAACCUGUGAAUGUUGAGGACAACAAAAGUGGGAAUGGGCAGCAAAACGUGAAGGUUAUUCCUACGAACCAAUAAUGGUUCCAACACUUUCCCACUUGGUUUGUAUUGCCAUGAGUACUUAAAGUCAAAAAAUAAUGCACAAAUCAUGGCGAUAUUUCUCUUAGAAUUUGACUAGUAUCUUCCAUGUAUCACAAUAUAUCAUGCCUCAACGCUUUAGCCCAAAAUUUUUAAUAAAUAAACCCAAUGUUUAUUCCAAGUUCAAACUUUAGUGAUAGUUCUCGAAAUAAUCAAAUUAAAGUGUGCACAAAAUUUGCAUCAAAUUUGAGAAACAUCAAACUUAAUAGAGUUUCUUUAUAAUCAUUCUUAUAAUGAAAUUUACAAUGUGGGAACAAGUCCCAUAGUGACAACAUGAUCCUUAAAUUUGUGUGGUGGCAUGCCUUUAGUCAAAUGAUCAACUAACAUCUGCUCAGUGUUAAUGUGAUCAAUGAUCACUUCUUUUCUUUAACACAUUCCCUUAUGGCUAAAUACUUAAUGUCGAUAUGUUUAUUUGAACUUCCACUUUUAAUGUUCUCAGCCAUAAAUACAACAAUUGAAUUGUUACAAUAUAUCAUCAAUACCUAGAAAUUGAAUCCUUAAGUCUAAACCCAAAAAUGAAUGAACCAUACUCCAUGUGAGGUAGCCUUAAAACUUGACAUGAACUCAGCCUCCAUAGUGGAAGUAGCAGUUAAGAUUUGUUUGACACUCCUUCAAGAUAUAGCUGCGCCAGCAAAUAUAAAUAUGUAACCUGAUGUUAAUUUACUUGAAUCAACACAACCGAUAAAGUCUGAAUUGGAGUAGCCAAUCACCUCCAAAUUGUUUGAUCGUUUGUACGCAAGGAUGUAGUACUUUGUCCAUUUAAAAUAUCUCAAAACAUUAUUUGCAGCUCUUCAGUGGUCAAUACCUGAAUUACUCUGAUAUCUUCCCAACUUCCAACUGCAAAUGCAAUGUCAGGUCUUGUGCAGACUUGAGCAUACAUCAAGCUUCCAACAAUAAAAGCUUAUGCAAUGUUUUACAUCUGCUUCCAUUCAAAUAUUUUCUUCGGGCACUGGUUUAAAUUAAACUUAUCACCUUCCAUGAUAGGAGCAACACUCAGUGAAUAAUCUUUCAUUCGAAAUCUUUCUAACACUUUGUUGAUGUAGGUUUCUUGAGAUAAACUUAAGAUACUGCGAUGCCUAUCACGAUGAAUCUUAAUGCCAAUGACAUAAGACGCAUCACCCAUACCUUUCAUAUCACAAUUUUUAGAAAUAAAUUGUUUCACCUCAUGUACCAUAUCCCUGCAUUUGUUGCAAGUAUAAUGUCGUCCACAUAUAAAAUAAGGAAACAUAUUUUACUCCUAUUAACCUUUUGGUAUAUGCAUUGAUCCAUGAUAUUCUCAACCAAACCAAACGGAGAUAUUACUUCAUUGAAUUUUAAAUACCAUCAUCGGGAGGCUUGUUUCAAUCCAUAUAUGGACUUCUUUAGCUUGCAUACCAAGUGUUCACCUUCACUAGAGGAGAAUCAUUCAAGUUGUUUAAUGUAUACCACUUCCUUUAGGUCACCAUUUAGAAAUGCAGUUUUCACAUCCAUUCGAUGCAACUCAAGGUCAAAGUCAGCUACUAAUGCUAACACAAUGCACAAUGAAUCUUUCUUAGAUACAAGGCUAAAAGUCUCAGUAUAAUCGAUCCCUUCUUGCUGAGUGAAUCCUUUCACAAUGAGUCAAGCUUUAUGCCUUUCUAUGUUACAUAUUGAGUCUAUUUUGUUUUGAAGACUCAUUUACAUCCAAUGGCGUUUACGCCUUUAGGAAAUGACAAAAGAUCCCAAACAACAUUAUUUUUGAUGGAAUAGCAUUGUACUACAAUUUUGACUCUUUGCAACUAAUGGCUUGUGAAAAUGAUUCAGGAUCAUUCUCAGCUUUAAUAUUAUAGUCAAACUCUUACAGAUACACAAUAUAGUCAUUAGAAAUUGUUGAUUUCCUUUCCCUAGCAGAUCUUCUCAAUAUUGAACCAACAUUUUCUCGUGGAUCAUGUUGUUUAGCUGGUAGUUCAAUAAUUUUUGAAUUUUCUUGAACUGCUUGAUCUACUAGAGUGUUUUCACCUGCUUGUGGAUUUUCAUUGAUUGGUUGUUCAACACCUGGUUGAGCUUGAGAGGUGUUAUGUAUGAUAACCAAUCUCUCACUUGAAGUGGAAGGUUGACUUACAAGAAUUGUGUCUCGAGACAGAUCGCUCCCACUGAUUAAGUCAUUCUCAAGAGAUUUUGCAUUUCUUGAUUCCACAGUACCUAGUGUUUUAAAAACUAAAACAAUACCUAAAAGGUGCAAGUCUUGAAAUAGAAACUAAGUUUCUAGAAAAAUUGGGAAUAUAAAAAUUCUUUUCUAAAAUUAAAAUAAAGUCACUCCUAAGCACUAAUUCGCAUGUUCCAAUUGCUUCCACAUGCGAUUCCAUCUUAUUUCUUGAAUAGAUGUGUCGCUCAGCUUCCACUGGUUCCCUCAGGUUUCUUAAUCUUUGUAAGGAAUUUGAUAUAUGAAUUGUAGAACCAGAAUCAGUCCACCAUGUGUUAUAACUGACAUCAACCAUAUUGGACUCAAAUCAAACUAGUGAGAUUGAUUUACCUUUAUUUUCAAGUCAGGUCUUAAACGUUACACAGUCUUUUUUUUAAGUGUCCCUUCUUUUUACAGAAAAAAACACUUGGACUCAUUCUUUAUGUCAGUUUGGGGUUGCAUUUUGGCCUUCCCCUUUUGCUUGGCUUGGACUGUCUUCUUUCCUUGAGUAAUCGACAAUGCACUCUCUCCCUUCUCCAGUAUGAGUCUAGCCUCUUCCUGAUCACACAUGGUCAAAAGCUCAUCGAUAGAACACUUAUCCUUGUGUGUUAUAGGAGAUCUUAAAUGGCCGGUACUGAGGUGGAAGAGUGUUCAAUAUAAAGUGCACCAAGAAAGAUUCAGACAUUUCAACCUCAACUGCUCUCAGUCAAGCUGCUAAAUCUCUCAUCUUUUUUAUAUGAUCAUGUACACCUUUCACGAUAGUGAGCUUCAUUAAUGUGAACUUCAUGAUUAGGGUGCUAGUUAAUGACUUUUGUGAAGUUUUGAAUUAUUUUUCAACAGUUUUUAAUAAUUCUUGGACAUUCUCAUAAUGCUCAAUUGAGCCACAAACAUCAAUCAGAACCUUACUCUUUAUGAACAUGAUUGUAACAGCCCGAUUUUGACCCUAUUCGAAACGGUGGUUUCGAGACCACGAAUCUAAGUCAGAAAAAUAUUUUAAAAUUUAUUUUUGGUGUUUAUACUGUGUGAAUUUGUGUAUGCCAAAUUUUCGGUUUGGAAUUUUAUCGUUUGAAUGCCCGAUUUAUUAAAAGAACUUAAUUGCGUAAGUUAUGAAAGUUGCUAACUAUUUAUUAAAGUGUUAAUUUGCUAUUGUCUUUGUAGUGUGGGGUCUUUAAAAGGAAAUUAUUCCAUAAUUAAAAGAAUUGGACAUAUAUAAGUUUAUUUUAUAAUGAUUUUACAUUAAAUAAUAAAUGUUAAAUUUGUAAAUAUAUUAAAUAUAUUAAUAAAAUAUAAAAAAAAACAUGCAUUAGUUCAUCUUUAUUUUUUAUUGACCGAAUAUAGCUAAAGAAAAGGAGAAAGAAAAGGUUUAAGGUUUCGGCACUUUGAAGCUUGAAUUUAGGUAUGUGUUUAGCUCAUUUUUUGUUAAUUUUUACGUUUUUGAUAUCGUUGCUUCGAAUACUACUCGACCCAUGCUUGAAUUUUUGAAUUUGAUGAUGAUUUUGUAUUUUUGUCAUUGUUGAAAGCUUGUGACUUUUGUUUUAGAAGUUAGAAAAUAAAAGAAAUGAGGUAGAUAAACAUAUGUUGUCUUUGAAUUUUUGAUGAUUUUGAGUAAUUAGAGCUAAAUUGCAAAAAUAAUAAAUUGAGGGACUAAAAUGUGAAAUAAAUGAAAUGCAUGGACUUAUAUGAGCUUAGUGAAUAUUCAGCCAAGCUAUUGUGUAAUGAAAUUUUGUUUAUUUUGUAUUUUGUGAAAUAGGGACUAAUUUGUAAUAAAUGUGAAAUGUUAGGGGUAAAGGUGUAAUUUACCCAUUUAUGUGUUUAUGGAUGAAUUUGAUGGAAUAUGUGAUUAAAUAAACUUAAAUUAUACAAAUUUAGAUCAAGAAAAGAGGAAUUUGGAAUUGGAUCAGGGGAAUUUCUGCCUCACAAUCCGUGCGGCCUUAGGCAGUCUCUUGUUUCCAAAAACGUCUAAGUCAGCCUAACUCCCACGAGUUGAGGAUUCAAUAGAAUUCCCCUUUGAAAACUAACACAAACGAAAUCCAUUCAAAGAUAAAACAAAGAUGAACGAAGAACGAUAUAAGAACAAGCCACAAAAUACCAAGAACACAAGAGAGAAGAGUUGGAGAAAAUACUCUCAAGAAUUCUUAUUACUCUGCCAAAACUCCAGUGAUUUACAAAUGAGGGGAGAGGCCUCUAUUUAUAGUAGAGCCUCCCCAAAUCCAAAGGUACAGAUGGAAUAGUCGUCCCGGUUUGUCCGUCUUCGUCCGAGGUAAGUCUAUAAGCACAUAAAUGUUGUUAACUUUAAAUAAUUGUGUAUAUAAAUAUGAGAUAGCCGAAUGUAUAUGUAUAUGUACAUAGAAAUAAUAUGUAUAAGUUUGAUUUGAUCGAAAUACGACGUACGAAAGUCCUAAGUGAACCAAAGGAAUUCCGAUAAGUGUUAUUGUGUAAGACCCUGUGUGGGAUAGCGGCAUCAAUUUGUAAUUGUGAGUAAGACCCUGUGUGGGACAGCAGCAUCGCUAUUUGAUUACAUGUAAAACCACGUGUGAGACAUUGGCACUGUACGAUAAAUAUGAUUAUUCGAGUAUUCUAUUCAGUUUUGAAUGGUUCAGCAGGCAUGUAAUGGCCUAAAUUCAAGGUUAUCGGAACAGUGGUUUCGUAGCCACAAAUUUGAUUUAAAGAUAAAUUUAUUUUAAUAUUUUUGCAUGAAUAUUGAUAUGAUAGGAAAAUCAUAUGAAAAUAUAGAUAGAAGAAUUUUACCGAUUUAGUAGUUAGUUAGAAAAAGAAAUUAUUGAAGAAAUUUAGUAAAAACAAGGUAUCAAGACCUCGAUCUCGUAAAAUCAAGUCACAAAUAUUUUUAUAAAUAUUUAUGAAGUGUUAGUAAUAUGGUAUUAAAAUUUUGUUAGAAAAUUUCUACGUUUGGGUAAUUAAUUAAGUGAAAAGGAGUAAAUUGAAAAGGGUGUAAAAGUUACUAGAAGGAUUAAAUAGCUCAAUUGUUAAAUGAGAAGGGACAUAAAUUGCAAAUAAGCCCAAAAGGAGAUAUUUUGGGCGGCAUAAGCUGAGAAAAAUAAGUAGAAUUGGUGAAAUAAGGGUAAAAUGGGAAAAUAACAAAAUUUACUAACAUAAAAAUAUGACCAAAUUGGAAUAUCUAGAAUUCUCUUCGUAUUUUCUUCAUUAUCAUCAGCCAAAAAAUGUCCUAGGGGUUUAUUCAAGCUGGUACUUCAUAAUUUUUGCACCAAGUGAGUUAAUCAUUGCCUUUUUCUUGUAAUUUUUGUGUUUCUAAGACUUUUACAACUAGGUCCUAUUACUAAAUUCAUUAGUUUUUGAUUUUAUGAAUGAAAUUGACAGUUUCUAUGAAUAUGUGCUGGAAGUUUAUGAUGAAAUAGCAUGAAAUUGAAGCUUUAAUUUGUUUAUGAGAUGAUUUUAUUAGGUAAUUUCAAUAGAAAUUGAUUUGUAGAACCUAAUUGUGAAAAAUUUUGGAAUCAAAGUCUAGUGCUAAAAUUCUGAUUUCCAAAGGUUAUAAAGUAGUUUAAAGUGAUAGAAUAAAGUGUUAAUUGAGAAAAUCAGGUCAAUUAAGAGGUUAAUUGAGCAGCGAUGAAAUUAUCAAUUAUUGAAAGCUUAAGGGAAAAAUGGCAAUUAACACCAUGCACUAAAACAGUUUGGACAGCAACAGUAGGUUAACUUUGAAAAAUCACCAUAAAAUUGUGUAAAUUGAAUUAGAGGAUGAAAAAAAUAUUAAAUUAAAGCUUACUGAGUCUGGUUUCUUAUAAAAGAAACGGUGUAAGCAAUGAAAUUGUAAAUCAUGAGAUAUAAUAGAUUUCGUGAGACAAGGUCAGAAUGAAUUCGGGUUCCCCUAUUCUGACUUUGGAAAAUCAUCAAAAAUUGGAGAAAAAUAAUUAGGGGCUUAAAUUUAUAUGUUUAAAAUACUUAAUGAGUCUAUUUUCAAAAGAAACAACAAGAACAUCAUCUGAAUCCUGUACAAUGAGAUAAUUAAUUUUUAGUGAAGAGGGGUCGGAACUGUCGAACAGUGAAAUAAGGGAAACUUUAAAGAAUAAACUGUACUUAUUGGCUAAACCAAAAAUUCUGAAAAUUUUAUGGCUAAACCAAAAAUUCUGAAAAUUUUUUGGUAAGAAGAUAUGUGAGUCUAGUUUCGGGGAAAAUUAGAAGAUCUUAAUUUGGAGUUCCGUAGCUCAAGAUAUAAAUAAUUUAGUGAUUAUGACACAAUGAGACAGCUUUGAAUGCACUAUAAAUAAUAAUGGAAUUAUAGAGAAUGUUACAUAUGAACAUGAAAUGUAUUAGAUUAAUGAUUAAAUUUAUUUAUUUAGAUCCAAAAAAUUCAAAUACGAAGCUAGAUCAAGGAAAAGAAAAGGUUUGAGAUUAGUAGAUUUUUGUUUACGAACAAGUAUCGAGGUAAGUUCGUGUAACUUGAAUUAUAUUCUUAAAUGCUUGAAAUAUAUUUUUCUUGAUGUGAAUAUGAUUUGGAUGUUUAAAAAAAAUUCUUAUGAAUUCGAUAUAGUCUCGGUUUAUUCCCGAUGUAUGUUUUGGGCAUUGGAGGUGUAUCCAAGGGACGUCAUGACAUGUUUCGUAAAUGAAUAGUAUUUAACUCGUAAUAAUGGAAAGUUAAUUUUGUAAAAUUUGGUAAUGCCUCAUACCUUAUUCUGGCUGUGAAUACGGGUAGGAGGUAUUACAUUUGUUGGUAUCAAAGCUACGGUUUAGUCGGUUCUCAGAUCGACGUAACAAAUACGAGAUUAGCUAUACAUGCCAUUUAAAUUAUUAUUGAUAGCAAAUGCCUGCCAACCGAGCUCAACCCGAGGAAGCAGGGAGUCAUGCUCCGGCUUCAGAACAAAGAGAAUUUGAAGCUACUAGUAGGAGAAGGUCUUAGACAAUGGGCCAAAGUGAAGAGGUUAAAAUGGCCUUCUAUCAAAUGAUGAAUGAAUGGUUUACUCAGUAUAGAAAAACUAACCCUGUAGUGCAGUAAGCUCAAGCUCCUCCUCCUCCUCCCCUACCGAUUCUCGAGAUUCCACUGGGUACAUGUACUGAAUCUAUCAGAAAAGGAAAAGCUCAAGUUGAUAAAAUAAGAAAAUAUGGGGCUGAAGAAUUCAGAGUCGCAGUUGAUGAUGAUCCCGAACGGGCUGAGUUUUGGUUAGAAAAUACUACUCGGGUUUUAGAGGAAUUAUCUUGCACACCAGAAGAGUGUUUGAAAUGUGCAAUAUCAUUGCUAAAAGAUACAGCUUACCAUUGGUGGACUACUAAAACUUCAGUUGUUUCGAAAGAACAAAUUACAUGGGAAUUCUUUAAGACCGAGUUCAGAAAGAAAUAUAUCAGUCAGAGGUUCCUCGAUCAGAAGAGAAAAGAAUUUCUUGAGCUGAAACAGGGUAACAGAUCAGGACCUGAGUAUGAAAAAGAAUUUGUCUGAUUGAGUAAAUAUGCUCGGGAAUGGGUACAAUUAGAAGCCGAAAUGUGCAAACGAUUCAAAGAAGGGUUGAAUGAAGAAAUUAAGCUAUUGAUCGGAAUUCUUGAAAUUCGAGAGUUUGCUACCCUUGCAGAGCGAGCUUAUCAAGCAGAAGAACUGAGCAAAGAAAAGAAACAGGCUGAGAGAGAAGCUCGAAUUCUUAGUAAAAGACCGAUGGGAAAAUCUCAGUUUUCUACUUCAAAGAAAAUGAAGAAAUUCCAGGAUCGCUCUACCUCAGCUACUAGGUAUUCGGGUAGAGAGUGAGGUUUUCAACGCACUAAUCCAAGACCUUCCACUCUAUCAAUGACCAGUGUUGGCAAUGUUGGUACCCCUAAGCCGAGAUGCUAGUACUGUAAUAAAACUCAUUUUGGUGAAUCUCGAUUAAAGAGCGGGGCUUGUUACCGAUGUGGUUCUUUCGAUCAUUUCCUCAGAGAUUGUCCAGAAAGGGGUGAAAAAGAAAUUGAACAGAUAUCAAAGUCGAGUAAUCUAGUUUCGAGGGGUAGACCACCUCGACCAUCUGGUAAUGUCAGUUGUAGUCGAUGAGCUACAAAAGAUACUGCAGGUAGGCCUGAGGCGCGAGCACCUGCUAGGACAUAUGCCAUCCGUGCUAGAGAAGAUGCCUCAGCAUCCGAUGUUAUUACUGGUACAUUUUCUUUACUUGAUACUGAUAUUACUGCAUUGAUUGAUCCUGGUUCUACACAUUCAUACAUAUGCACAAAAUUAGUAUUUGUUAAAAAUUUAUCUGUUGAACCUACUGAAUUUGUGGUUAAAGUUUCGAACCCCCUGAGCCAGUUUGUGAUAGUGGAUAAAGUUUGUAAAAAUUGUCCACUGAUGGUAAAAAGUAUUUGUUUUCCGAUUGACUUGAUGUUAUUGAUGAGUUCAAUGUGAUAUUGGGCAUGGAUUGGCUAACUCAACAUAAUGCAGUAGUAAACUGUAGACAGAAAUAUAUUGUGCUGAAGUGUUAGAAUGGAUAAUUACUUCGGGUUAAAUCUGAUCAGACAGAGGAAUUAUCUAAUGUGAUUUCGGUUAUGACAGCUCAGAAGUGUGUCAGAAAAGGGUAUGAUGCUUAUUUGGCAUAUGUGUUAGACACUAAGGUAUCUGAGUCAAAGAUACAGGCAGUGCCAUUUGUAUGUGAAUUUUUCGAUGUGUUUCCAGAGGAAUUACCAGGGUUGCCACUAGAAAGAGAAGUGGAAUUUUCUAUAGAUCUGAUUCCGGGAACUACUCCAAUCUCCAUAGCUCCGUAUCAUAUGGCUCCUACGGAAUUAAAGGAGUUCAAGACACAGUUGCAAGAACUUGUUGACAGGGGUUUUGUUCGACCAAUUCAUUCACCUUGGGGUGCUCCGGUUCUAUUUGUGAAAAAGAAGGACGGGUCCUUAAGAUUAUGUAAUGAUUACCGACAGCUCAACAAGUCACUAUAAAGAAUAAGUACCCAUUGCCUUGGAUUGACGAUCUGUUUGACUAGUUGAAGGGUGCCACUGUAUUUUCAAAGAUUGAUCUCUGAUCAGGCUACUACCAGUUACGGGUAAAAGAGUCAGAUGUACCGAAAACAGCUUUCAGAACUAGGUAUAGGCAUUUUGAGUUUCUGGUUAUGCUGUUUAGGCUGACUAAUGCACUUACAGUAUUUAUGGACCUGAUGAAUCAGAUAUUUAGAUCGUACUUAGAUAGGUUCGUGGUAGUUUUUAUUGACGAUAUCUUGGUCUAUUCCCGAGAUAAAAAUGAGCAUGCAAAACAUUUGAGAAUUGUGCUGCAAAUUCUACGAGAGAAGCAGCUAUAUGCUAAAUUCAGUAAAUGUGAAUUUUGGCUUCGAGAAGUGGGUUUUCUCGGACAUAUUGUAUCCACAGAAGGCAUCAGGGUAGAUCCGAGUAAAAUCUCAGUAAUUGUCAAUUGGAGUCUACCGAAAAAUGUAUCCGAAGUUAGAAGUUUCUUGGGUUUAGCUUGUUAUUAUCGGAGAUUUGUACAGGGGUUCUCUAUGAUAGCUUUUCCGAUAACCCGUUUAUUAUAGAAAGAUGUUAAAUUCGAGUGGUCUGAUGAAUGCCAGUAGAGUUUCGAUCGAUUGAAAGAUUUGUUAACGAAAGCACCUAUAUUGGUACAGCCUGAACCGGGUAAAGAUUUUAUUAUUUAUAUUGAUGCAUCAUUAAAUGGUUUAGGUUGUGUCUUGAUGCAAGAAGGUAAAGUUAUAGCCUAUGCUUCGAGACAACUUAAGACACAUGAAAGAAAUUACCCGGUGCAUGAUCUUGAAUUAGUUGCCAUUGUAUUUGCAUUAAAAAUAUGGCAGCAUUACUUGUAUGGUGAGAAAUGUCAUAUUUAUACUGAUCAUAAAAGUUUGAAAUAUCUAAUGACACAGAAAGAUUUGAAUUUGAGACAGCGUAGGUGGCUUGAAUUGAUAAAGAACUAUGAUUUGAUUAUUAAUUACCAUCCGGGUAAGGCUAAUGUUUUUGCUGAUGCUUUAAGUCAAAAAUCUCUGUUUGCUUUGCGAGCUAUGAAUGCCCGAUUGUCUUUGGUUGAUGAUGGUUCAGUCGUAGCUGAGUUGAGAGUUAAACCGACAUUUCUACAACAAAUAUAUGAAGCUUAGAAAAAUGAUGAGAAGCUACAGGCUAAACAGGUACAAUGUGAGUCAGGUAAUGAUUUAGAAUUUCAGUUUGGGACUGAUGGUUGUUUAUUAUUCAGAGGCAGAGUAUGUGUACCAAAGAAUUCAGAGCAUGUACAAAAGAUUUUACACGAGGCACAUAGUGGUAUUAUGUCCGUACAUCCGGGAGGUAAUAAAAUGUAUAAUGAUUUGAAAAAAAUGUAUUGGUGGCCAGGUAUGAACCAUGAUAUUUCUGAGUUUGUAUCAAGAUGUCUGAUACGUCAAUAGGUCAAAGCAGAACAUCAGGUACCUUCGGGAUUGCUCCAGCCAAUUACUAUACCAAAAUGGAAAUGGGAAAGUAUUACUAUAGAUUUUGUGUUGGGAUUACCAUUGUCACCAAAGAAGAAAGAUGCCAUUUGGGUGAUCGUUGAUCGAUUAACAAAAUCAGCACAUUUUAUCCCAGUACGUAUAGAUUAUUCUCUAGAUAAAGUGGCUGAACUGUAUAUAUCUAAAAUUGUCAGGCUACAUGGUGUGCCAAUCUCUAUUAUCUCUGAUAGAGAUUCCCGUUUUACAUCUCGUUUCCAGGACAAAUUGCAAGAAGCCUUGGGUACUCAAUUGCAUUUCAGCAUUGCAUUUCAUCAUCAGACAGAUGGCCAAUCUGAGCGUGUAAUUCAGGUACUGGAAGAUAUGCUCCGAUGUUGAAUAUUAGAGUUCUCCUUGGAAGAAAGUUCUCCUGUUCGGUCGAAAAGGUAAAUUGAGUCUAAAUUUAUCAGGCCAUAUGAAAUCAUAGAAAGAAUUGGACCGAUCGUUUAUCGAUUGGCAUUACCACUGGAACUCGAUAGAAUUUAAUAAUGUUUUUCAUGUGUCUAUGCUACGACGGUAUUGAUCAGAUCUUUCACAUGUUAUAUCUCCAUCAGAAGUGGAGAUUUAGCCGCAUAUGACUUACAGUGAAGAACCGGUCAAGAUAUUAGCACGAGAAAUAAAGGAGCUUAGAAAUAAAAAGAUAAAUUUGGUGAAAGUAUUAUGGAAAAAGAACGGGAUUGAGGAAGCAACAUGGGAACCGAAUGAGGCAAUGAGGAAACAAUACCCGAACCUCUUUACUGGUAAGAUUUUCGAGGACAAAAAUCCUUAAAGGAGGGGAAAGUUGUAAUGGCCUAAAUUCAAGGUUAUCGGAACAGUGGUUUCAUGCCACAAAUUCGAUUUAAAGAUAAAUUUAUUUUAAUAUUUUUGCAUGAAUAUUGAUAUGAUAAAAAAAUCAUAUGAAAAUAUAGAUAGAAGAAUUUUACCGAUUUAGUGGUUAGUUAGAAAAUGAAAUUAUUGAAGAAAUUGGGUAAAAAUAAGGUAUCGAGACCUCGAUCUCAAAAAAUCGAGUCAAAAAUAUUUUUAUAAAUAUUUGUGAAAUGUUAGUAAUAUGGUAAUAAAUUUUGUUAGAAAAUUUCUACGCUUGGGUAGUUAAUUAAGUGAAAAGGACUAAAUUGAAAAGAGUGUAAAAGUUACUAGAAGGAUUAAAUAGCUCAAUUGUUAAAUGAGAAGGGACAUAAAUUGAAAAUAAGCCCAAAAUGAGAUAUUUUGGGCGGCAUAAGCUGAGAAAAAUCAGGAGAAUUGUGAAAUAAGGGUAAAAUGAGAAAAUAACAAAUUUUACUAACAUAAAAAUAGGACCAAAUUGGAAUAUCUAGAAUUCUCUUCAUAUUUUCUUCAUUAUCAUCAGCCAAAAAACAUCCUAGGGGUUUAUUCAAGCUGGUACUUCACAAUUUUUGCACCAAGUGAGUUAAUCCUUGCCUUUUUCUUGUAAUUUUUGUAUUUCUAAGACUUUUACAACUAGGUCCUAUUACUAAAUUCAUUAGUUUUUGAUUUUAUGAAUGAAAUUGAAAGUUUCUAUGAAUAUGUGCUAGAAUUUUAUGAUGAAAUAUCAUGAAAUUAAAGCUUUAAUUUGUUUAUGAGAUGAUUUUAUUAGGUAAGUUCAAUAGAAAUUGAUUUGUAGGACCUAAUUGUGAAAAAGUUUGGGAUCAAAGUCUAGUGCUAAAAUUCUGAUUUCCAAAGGUUAUAAAGUAGUUUAAAGUGAUAGAAUAAAGUGUUAAUUGAGAAAAAUCAACUCAAUUGAGAGGUUAAUUGAGUAGGGAUGAAAUUAUCAUUUAUUGAAACCUUAGGGAAAAAAUGGUAAUUAACAUCAUGCACUAAAACAGUUUGGACAGCAACAGUAGGUUAACUUUUAAAAAUCACCAUAAAUUGUGUAAAUUGAAUUAGAGGAUGAAAAAAUAUUAAAUUAAAUUUUAUUGAGUCUAGUUUCUUUUAAAAAAACGGUGUAAGCAAUGAAAUUGUAAAUCAUGAGAUAUAAUAGAUUUUGUGAGACAAGGUCAGAAUGAAUUCGGGUUCCCCUGUUCUAACUUUGGAAAAUCAUCAAAAAUUGGAGAAAAAUAAUUAGGGGCUUAAAUUUAUAUGUUUAAAAUACUUAAUGAGUCUAUUUUCAAAAGAAACAAACGAGAACAUCAUCUGAAUUAUGUACAAUGAGAUAAUAAUUUUUAGUGAAGAGGGGUCGGAACUAUCGAGCAGUGAAACAGGGGAAACUUUAAUGAAUAAAUUGUACUGAUUGGCUUCUGAAAAUUUUAUGGCUAAACCCAAAAUUCUAAAAAUUUUAUGGUAAGAAGAUAUGUGAGUCUAGUUUCGGGAAAAAUUAGCGGAUCUUAAUUUGGAGUUCCGUAGCUCAAGAUAUAAAUAAUUUAGUGAUUAUGACAGAAUGAGACAGCUUUGAAUGCACUAUAAAUAGUAAUGGAAUUAUAGAGAAUGUUACAUAUGAACAUGAAAUGUAUUAUAUUAAAGAUUAAAUUUAUUUUUUUUAGAUCCAAAAAAUUCAAAUACGAAGCUAGAUCGAGGAAAAGAAAAGGUUUGAGAUUAGUAGAUUUUUGUUUACGAACAAGUAUCGAGGUAAGUUCGUGUAACUUGAAUUAUAUUCUUAAAUGCUUGAAAUAUAUUUUUCUUGAUGUGAAUAUGAUUUGGAUGUUUAUUAUAUGAUAAUUGAUGAAGUAUUGAUAUUCUUGAUGAAAAUAGAAAAUAAAUCCCGGUUGAAUGAAAGGAAAAUUCGAUGGAUCUUUGAAAAGGAAUUGACGGUAAAAAGGAUCUUGCCCUGAUGGGUGAUCCUAUCCUGAUAUAGCCCUCCCGAAGAAUAUGUGGAAAAUGGAUUUAGCCCGAACGGGUAAUCCGAAUUAGGGUCUGAAUUUAGCCUGGACUGGUAAUUCAGAUCCAAGCUCAUUAGAAUAAUUAUCAUUGUUGGGGAUUUUGCCUGGACUAGUAAUCCCGACAAUACUCUAUGAGUUUAUAUUACAAGGGAUUUAGCCUAGACUGGUAAUCCCGCUAUAAGGAUGAGGUUCGCGGGAGUGUGCUCUCUGAAAUGGAAAUGUGCGCACAUGAAUAUGAAUUGACGGACCCGGACCGUUACACUAAAGUGUACCCCUGAAAAUCUAUCGAAAUUCUGAGAAUUCAACGUGAUAAAUAUGGAAAAAUAACAAGGGAAUGGAAAUCAUGGUAUUGAUGAGCUCAUCAAUCAUGGUAUAUAUUAUUGAUACAUGGAAAUUAUUGGACUAAUUUGAAUGUUGAGUUGUGCAUGAUAGGGGAAUAAUGUAUUGAAUGGGUGUAUGAAUGUUUAUCGCAUUGUAUUGAAAAUAUUAGGUAGGUAUAAUUCUUGUCACAUGAAGUUACUAAGCACAAAGUGCUUACCUUGUUUCUUUUUCCCCUGUUUUGUAGUGUUAAGAGCUCGGAGGUCGGAUUCGGUCAGAGACGUAUCACACUGUCAACCUCAAUAUUUCGGUAUAUAAAGAAACUUUAUUUUGGAAAUCAAUGGCAUGUAUAAGCUAAAUAAGUAAAUGUUAAUGUGAAAUGAAUGUAAUGUUAGCCAUUCGUAUGGCUAACAAAUGUUGAUUUUGGUAUGUGAUGAGGUUAUCUUAUAAAUAUGUUUGAAUCUAUCUUGAAAAUAUGUUGAAAUGGAUUGGUUGGUUUGGAUUAGUCUCGGUUUAAAAUUGCAGGGAAGGUUAGAAAUUUAUAAAGGGGUUAUAUUGAGUUUAAAAAAAAUUCUUAUGAAUUCGAUAUAGUCUCGGUUUAUUCCCGAUGUAUGUUUUGGGCUUUGGAGGUCCAUCCAAGGGAUGCCAUGACAUGUUUCGAUAAAUGAAUAGUAUUUAACUCGUAAUAAUGGAAAAUUAAUUCGGUAAAAUCUGGUAAUGCCUCAUACCCUAUUCCGGCGACGAAUACUGGUAGAGGGUAUUACAAGGCAUUAUCAAGUUGUGAUUGAUUGUGAAAUCGAGCUGAAAGGGUCAAAUAAGUGUUAAGUUCAAUGUUAAUAAAAAAGAAGAAGGUAAGCUUGGUAUUUGAAAUGGUGAUAUAAGUUAUACGUGAUAUAAAGUGAAUUAUAUGUAUUUACAUGAAUGCUCAUAUUCGGCUAAAUGAUGUAUUUGUGAUAUUAAAAGUGAGAGUAAUGUGUGCUUAUGAGUAUAUGUGCAUUUGGUCAGAUGAUGUUAAAUUACUAAUAUUUUCUGAUGUUAUAUGAAUUUGCUAGUUUGAUAAGUGUAGAUGUGAUUAAGGGCUACUUGAUUCGACCUAGUUAAAUUAUAUUAGAUAUCUUUGAAAUGAUUUAUUUUCGUAUAACUUAGUGAUAACACUCUAGAAUAACGUAUUUUUAUGUAUUAAUUAUGUAUUUAUUCUGAGUAUGAUCUUGCUAAUUUGAGCUAUUUAUGAUCUUUUUCUCAUAGGGACUAAAUUUGAGGCAAAAGCAAAAUUAAGGGCCAAAAGCAUGAAUUUAGAGAUAAAAUGGGCUAAUGUGCAACACAAGGAAAAGUUGGUGCCAAAAGUGCAAGCAUGGAGGACACAAGGGUUGAAAUGCAAAAAGAAGAGAUUUUAUUCUAUCAGACUCUAUUUUAAUUAUAUUAAGAUAAUUAAUAUUAAGAUAAUUAUUAAGGAUUAUUUAAUUUUAGGAUUUUAUUUUAUUUAUCUUUAUUUAUCUUCAAUUAAAUGUAUUUAUCUUCUGGGAGUUUAAGUAGGAUUAGGUUAUCUUCCCUAGCACUAUAAAUAGGGGGUGAAGUGACUCAAAAGGGAUCCAUCUUUUUCAGAAAACACUCUCUCCCAAAAGUCUAGGAUUUUGUUCUUCUCAUAUUGCCUUUCAAUAAAAUCUCCAUUUUUAUUUUAUUUAUUUUCUUUUCCACCACAACCAUGAGCCACUAAACCCAUCUAGCUGAAAGUUGUCGGUAUUCCCCAAAAAGGGUUCUUGAGGCUUAAAGUCUGUACUUAGCCUCCUCGCCGAGUAUUCAUCAUUUCUCCUCACUACGGGGCUGAUGCUUCCGUCCAUGUCCCUUAAGAAGUAAGCUUUUCAACGUAUACAAAGGCGGCUGCUUUGUAUGUUUUGGGAAGUUUGCACAAUCGGUUCGUUAGCUUACUAUGUUAGAGGUUGGCGAGCCUAAGAGACAAAAUGGCGUAGGAUUUGCCAUUGAGAAGCAUUGAUCUAGCAUAAGACGAACCCACAGAAGCGAUUGUUGGCUAGAGUCAGGUUCCACUAAAUUGUAAGUCUAAAUUCUUGGAGCUGGUGGUCGUAGGCAUCCACUUCCACUAUAACUGACUUAUUCGGUUUGGGAAGGAUCAUCUAAAAGCCGAGGAUGGAACCCAAGACGGAACGAGACAACUGGAGGCUGUAACCCCCAUAAGAAUUUCAUUUCUCUCAACUCUAUUUUUAAUUUCUCGAAUUUUUUAUUCAAUAUUCUUAAUUCUAUUUUUAUUUUAUUUUUCAUUUCUAGAUCUAGACAUUUAAUUUUGUUAUUUUUUUAUUUUAUUUUUUUUAGGAAUACAGGUUUUUUUGGGCAAGAUUCUGCCUGGGAUUUCAUGGAACAAGAUAUUGGCACCAAAAUUUGAUGCGGUCGUUAAAAGCGCCAAAAAUAUCCUAUCCUUAAUAAAUAAUGAAAAAGAAUAGUAAAAGGGAAGUAGGGCCAAAUAUAAUUAUCUUAAUAAUUAUCCUUAAUAUUAAUAUUAAUUAUCCUAAUAUAAUUAAAAUAGAGUCUGAUAGAAUAAAAUAAAAUCCUAAAAUUAAAUAAUCCUUAAUAAUUAUCUUAAUAUUAAUUAAUACAUAAAAAUACGUUAUUCUAGAGUGUUAUCACUUACUAAGCUAUUCAAGCUUACUGUGUGUGUGUUUGUUCGUUGUUUUAUAGUUGUUGUUCUAAAAUUAAAUAAUCCUUAAUAAUUAUCUUAAUAUUAAUUAUCCUAAUAUAAUUAAAAUAGAGUCUGAUAGAAUAAAAUCUCUUCUUUUUGCAUUUCAACCCUUGUGUCCUCCAUGCUUGCACUUUUGGCACCAACUUUUCCUUGUGCCACACAUUGGCCUAUUUUAUCUCUAAAUUCAUGCUUUUGGCCCUUAAUUUUGCUUUUGCCUCAAAUUUAGUCCCUAUGAGAAAAAGAUCAUAAAUAGCUCAAAUUAGCAAGAUCAUACUCAGAAUAAAUACAUAAUUAAUACAUAAAAAUACGUUAUUCUAGAGUGUUAUCACUUACUAAGCUAUUCAAGCUUACUGUGUGUGUGUUUGUUCGUUGUUUUAUAGUUUUGGAAUCAAGUUACGAGCUCGAGGAUCGUCAGAGUAAUCAGACAUACUAUCGAUCUCUAAUUUGGUAUUUUAAAAGUUAAACCUUAUACUUAUGGCAUGUAUAGGCUAGCUUGUGUUUUGGGUUAGUUUUGAAUUUGUAAAUAUUAAACCAUGCGAAAAUGGCUAGAUAUGAUGCUUAAGUUUAAGCAAAUUUCGGUUAUGGUAUAUAUAUAUGUGUGACGUAUUUGGUAUAUGUAUGAUGAUAUAGUCUUGAAAGUUGGCAUGAUUUGCAAUUAUGGUUUGUUAUAAUUUGAUUUAAGAGAAUUAGGUAUAGUUGAUGAAUUAGUUCUUAUUGAUGACUAUAAAUUACCUUGUGAUUUGGUAGUGUUUAAAUCAUGGAACUAAAUGUCCAGUUAUAUGUUAACGUUAAUUUUUCUUAUAUUUGUUAAGUGUGGAUUAUUGCUAUGGUAUUAUACUUAAAUUGAUAUACAUAUUGCAAUUAGAAUUGGUAACUGGUAUAAUGAGUCUUGUUUACUAAAUUAGUUUUAUAAGUGACCUAUGAUAUGUUACAGGAUUAAUAUUAUUUAUACAUAUGUAUAGGUCCGGUUUUGGCAUGUAAUGCAUUAGUAGAUUUGUUUUCUAUAUUAUAUAUAUUUAUAUAUAAUGAUUAUGUUUUAUGAGAUGUCUUUGCAUGUAAAUGAAUAAUUUGUUUUAUAUUUGAAAAUGACUAGGAUACAGCUUAGUAAGAUAGUAAAUUAAUAAAUGACAUAUUUGUGCAUAUGUGUAUGUAUUAGAUUAUGGAUCUAAAAGAUGUGAUUAACAAUGAUGUAUGGUAAUUUAGCAAAAUUAGACUCGUAUUAUUGGAAAGUUGAUGUCUGUUUGGGUAUAAACAUUUGCGCAUAAUUGAAUGAUUAUAAUGGUAUAUUUUCAUUUAUGUUUUGGCUAAGCAUUGAACAAAAAGGCUAAAGAAUAGUAAUGUACCGAUUGUGAUAUGGUCAUACAUUGUGGUUUGACUUGCUCGUUUUAUAUGUAUAUUGUAAUUAAUAAAAUUGCUUAUUUUGAUAUGCGCAUAGGUUUAUAUGGGGAAGUGUUAUUUUGAUACUUUGUUUAUGUAUUAAAUGAAUACGAAUAUAUAUUAAUUCCGUAUCAUGAAAUGUUUUAAAGUCGGUUGGGUUUAAGAGAUUUGACCAUGAUUAUGUGUAUAUACAUGUGUUAGUUCGAAAGUUGUGUCAGGUCCGGUAAUGCCUCGUAACCCCAUUUCGGCGACGGAUACGGGUUAAGGGUGUUACAAUGAUACUUAAGUGAUUAGAUCGUUCCAAUUUUUCAUACAGAGCAAGAUCAAUUUAUGUGUUGGUUUUAGUAAUAUGUGGCUCAGAUUUUCUUGUGGCAUAGUCAAUAUCCAAGCACCCCAACUAGAGAAGAAUACUCUCCUUCCAGUUUAAAGUUCUCACUAGUUAAUUUAGGGAUGUCUAGUUUAUUAUCAAACAUAUUCACUGGUUGUAAAACUACAAAAUGAAUAGACAUACAUGCUUAACAAAAAUUUGAGGCAAACAUAAAUCAUAAUUGACCAAUGCAAAUUAUGUAUAUAAUGAAUCUAGUGUCAUAAAAAUUACCUGUAGGCUAAAUUUUUAAUUCAACUAGAUCAAUUUUAUGAUAGAAUUAUUUACUAUCCUUUUGAUAAAAAAUAUUAAAUUCAUUUUCAUAAUCCCGGUAAGUAACUAUAAAAGGUCAUCUAAUAAUUUUAUCUUAAUAAAUUAUGCAAUGGGAUUUAAUACCUAUGUUGUCCGAAUGUGAUUUUUAACUUUAAUAUAAUUUUAUUUAACAAAAGAUGUUGUAGCUAGUCUUUAACUAAAUAAAGUUAUGAAAAUCACUUAACUAGAUAUUAAUUCUUAAAAUUUAUUCAAGAUUGUUGCUAAGUCAUUAUGCAACAUCUAAUGUCUAUAAACCUUAUGAGAUCCUUACUACAAUAAAUAAUUUUAUUGCUAAUAUUGUGACUAAUUCUCUAAUUAAAUAAAAUUAUUUGAAUCCCCAGACAUAUAUUCUAAAGUUUUAUUGCUAAAUACCUUAUGCAAUAAGUCUAAAAUUUUUAUGCACCUAAAAACUUAUGUAAUUAAUAACCAGAUAAUUCACGUACAACCAUUUACUUCAGGCACAUAAAAAAUAUUCAAAUAACAAAUUUCUAAAAUUUUUCUUUAAAUUAUUUAUAACAUAAUUAAUUUUAGAAAUUUUACUUUAAUAAAAUCUAAUGAUUAAUUCAAAGAAACAUGACAUUGUUAUUUUGAGAAAUUUACAAACUUUUAAAACAGGAUAAGGCGGAGAUUUAUCAUACUCUGAUACCAAAUGGUAGCAUAAAUAACAAAUUACAAUAUAAAAUAAUGGAAAAGAUCGACAUAAAUACCUCCAACUAUUAUUUGAACCAAAUGUCAAAAUCCAAAUAUUGUUACACCACUGCCAAGCACGCCAAACCACCGACGAGCACGUAAAAUUUAACUAUACGAAAAGCUGAAAAUUGUCAAAAUCUUCUAAGUACUCGAAAACCUCACUAGAUGGUGUAUAUAAUUCCUUAUCUUUGAAAUGGAAUUGCUUUAGUUUUUUUUUGGUGUUUAGGGAUCUUAUGUUAGUUGGUAUUUAUAGUGGUAUUUAUAGGAAUCUUAUGUUAGUUGGUAUUUAUAGUGGUAGUUCCCAAUAAAAAAUUACCAACUAUACAUCUCAUUAUCUCACAUACAAAGACAUGGAAGUUGAGGGCAACAAAAUUGGGAAUGGACAGCAAAACGUGGGGGUUAUUCUCACAAACUAAUAACAGUUCUAACUACACAUCUCAUUAUCUCACAUACAAAGACAUGAUAGUCCGUGUUAAGGAAUCUUACAUUCUCUUAAUCGUAUUACUAGAGAUUUAUCUUACAUUUCGUCCGAGGAGAAAUGGAAGGAAAGAAAAGUAAGGGAAAAUAAUAUUUUUUUCUUCCUUUGUUUGGAUAGAGUAUUUAAUUUAAGAAAGAGAAAAUAAGCUCUAUUUUCUUUUUACCCACAAGACAAAAGUUUAGGACAUAAAAAUAUAUAAUUGUUGUCAUUUCUUUCUUUUUUAAAUAAAUUUAUGAAUGAUGAAAUUGUUAUAAUGGUAAAAGUUUAUUAUAAUUAAUCAUUUCAUUUCCACUAUUUAACCAAACCAAAAUGAUUAGAAUUACCUUUCCUUUCCUUUCACUAGUUUUAACCAUCUAAAUAAAAUCAUAUGUAAUCAUUUAUUUUUCUUACUUUUACUCUCCUCUACUAUUUUCAAAUCUUUUUAUAACUAAUUAUAUCUUUAUUAUUUUCAAUGAAAAUUGCUAAAUACAAAGAUUGUAAAUUUAAACCAAAUUAAUAGAAUUGAUAAAAAAAAACUAAAGUUACCCUUUUAUUUAAAAUUAAUGUAAUAAAUUAAUCUUAGGGGUUAAUGAAUUUUUCGUCAAACCUCAAAAUAAGUACAUAUUUUUCAUAUCAUAGUAGGUAACAAAAUCGACAUUUAAAAAUUUAAUAAAGAAUGGAAAUUUUAAAUGAUCGACAUUUAAAAAUUUUAAGUAUUUUAUGAAAGAAAAUGGAAAAUUAAAAAAAAAACUUGGGUUUUUUAAAUAAAAAUUUUAAAAUUGCCGUUCAUAAGCAGGGUCAAGAGCCAAGUGGUGGUGGGCAAGACGAACACAAUGACAGCCAGAGCCCGUCAUCGAUUUUGACUUGGUCUUUUAAUUUAUAAAAUUAAAAUUAAAAGGAUUCACAAAUUCUACACCCAAAAGGAGGCAAGCCGAGUAGCCGGUUCGUGGUCGGUGAGCAUUGUCUCGCUACACCACUUGCUCUGGCCCCUCCAUAUAAACCUCUGUUCCCUUGUAUUCAAACCCAAGCCUAGCUUCUCCCGAAAAACAAACUUCUUUUAAUAAAAUUAAAAACUAUGGUGAAGAAGGAACUGUACAUAACCGUACCCAGCGUUUUCCGGUGUCCAAUUUCACUUGACGUGAUGAAAUCUCCGGUUAGCCUUUGUACGGGCGUUACCUACGAUCGUUCCAGCAUCCAAAAAUGGCUCGAAUCUGGUCACGACACCUGUCCAACCACCAUGCAGGUUCUUCCCUCCAAGGAUUUCAUCCCUAACCUUACUCUCCAUCGUCUAAUUAAUCUCUGGAUCCAGUCUUCUACUCUUCGGCCAGGCUCUAACUCUCCACGGCUUCUUCCGGCGACGCCUCCUGCGAUCUCCGAGGUUCAGGCUAAGCUAUUGAUGGAGAAGGUUGAGAGGGAGAGCUGCGACGAUUCUUUGUCUAAGGUUGCCGAGUUCGUAAGCUGUUGCGAAGAGAACCGGAAAUUUGUAGCUAGAUUCGACGGUUUCGUUGAGGUAAUCGCCGGAGUUUUGAAAAGGAAAUGUGCGGAAAUCAAAGCUUUGGAAACGGCGGUUAGGAUUUUGGAUUUGAUUUUGAGCGAAAAUGGAGUCACAGAAGGGUUAAACAAAUUAAUCCUGAAAAGCAAUCAGGAAAGUAAAUUUUUAUCUGCAAUCGUUUUAAUGCUUCAACACGGAAGCCUGAACUCGAAGAUCAAGUCGGUCCGAGUUCUGGACUCACUAGCACUUGACUCCGAAUCCAAACGCAGGAUCUCCGACUCACAAGACCUUAUAUCCAUCCUUCUCGAGCUCCUGAAAACAAACAACAACGGAUCCUUAAACGACGCCGUUACUUCCAUUUUAACCACCAUUUCAAUAACGCGCUCCAUCAGAUCCCGCCUCAUCGAAAACGGCAUCGUUGAAAUCCUAUCAAACU